rnacentral:tRNA from 1 species
GAUAAGAUGCCUGAUUAAAGGGUUAUUUUGAUAGAAUAAAUUAUGUAUUUAUACUCUUAUUG